GUCUACAGCCAUGCUACCCUGAACACGCCCAAGUCUGUCUGAUCUCGGAAGCUAAGCAGGGCCGGGCCUGGUUAGUACUUGGGUUGGAGACCACGCAGGAAGACCAGGUGCCGUAGGCG
ensembl:rRNA 5S_rRNA 5S ribosomal RNA